AUUGAACGCUGGCGGCAUGCCUUACACAUGCAAGUCGAACGGCAGCAUAGGAGCUUGCUCCUGAUGGCGAGUGGCGAACGGGUGAGUAAUAUAUCGGAACGUGCCCUAGAGUGGGGGAUAACUAGUCGAAAGACUAGCUAAUACCGCAUACGAUCUACGGAUGAAAGUGGGGGAUCGCAAGACCUCAUGCUCCUGGAGCGGCCGAUAUAUGAUUAGCUAGUUGGUGGGGUAAAAGCUCACCAAGGCGACGAUCAGUAGCUGGUCUGAGAGGACGACCAGCCACACUGGGACUGAGACGCGGCCCAGACUCCUACGGGAGGCAGCAGUGGGGAAUUUUGGACAAUGGGGGCAACCCUGAUCCAGCAAUGCCGCGUGAGUGAAGAAGGCCUUCGGGUUGUAAAGCUCUUUUGUCAGGGAAGAAACGGUUCUGGAUAAUACCUGGGACUAAUGACGGUACCUGAAGAAUAAGCACCGGCUAACUACGUGCCAGCAGCCGCCGUAA
rnacentral:rRNA from 1 species